rnacentral:rRNA from 1 species
UACGGAGGGUGCGAACGUUAAUCGGAAUUACUGGGCGUAAAGCGCACGCAGGUGGCUGAGUCAGUCGAUUGUGAAAGCCCUGGGCUUAACCUGGGAAUUGCAGUCGAUACUACUCGGCUCGAGUAUGGGAGAGGGCAGUGGAAUUCCCGGUGUAGCGGUGAAAUGCGUAGAUAUCGGGAGGAACAUCAGUGGCGAAGGCGGCUGCCUGGCCCAAUACUGACACUCAGGUGCGACAGCGUGGGGAGCAAACAGG